rnacentral:rRNA from 1 species
AUGGAGUGUUUCACAUGGAAAAUACUUGCUGAUAGCACAUUAAGUACCCCCACCGAAUGUUGUCAACAAAACACACUAGCUCUACCUAGAUGGGGCAUUCGCAACAACAAAGACGAAAUAGUUCUACUCAGCAGCAAAUUAAACCGGCAAAGUGAUGGGGAUUAUGCACUGCAGACUGUAUGGAUGCAUGCCUAUCAAAAUGUAACAAUGACCUUGGCCCUGGGAGAUACCCUCGGCAGAGUUAAUAGCUUCGCAAGAACCCUGCUGCAGUCUGUUUUGCCCUCCCAUUCUAUCUCCAAUUCUUCCAAAGCUGGUGCCCACCUCAGUAGGAAAGAAGUCCACAUAACCCUCUGA